UACGUAGGGGGCAAGCGUUGUCCGGAUUCAUUGGGCGUAAAGAGCGUGUAGGCGGCCAGGUAGGUCGGUUGUGAAAACUGGAGGCUCAACCUUCAGACGUCGACCGAAACCAUCUGGCUAGAGUCCGGGAGAGGAGAGUGGAAUUCCUGGUGUAGCGGUGAAAUGCACAGAUAUCAGGAAGAACACCCGUGGCGAAAGCGGCUCUCUGGAACGGUACUGACGCUGAGACGCGAAAGCGUGGGGAGCGAACAGG
rnacentral:rRNA from 1 species